rnacentral:sRNA from 1 species
GUCAACACCAUCAAAACUUUGAGAAGAAGAAGCUUGGUUAAUGUUUUGGAGUCGAAAAUAACUUGAUGUGAUGUGUAUGAUUAAGUAUAAGAACUUAAACCGCAACCGGAGCUUAAAAGCCUAAGUAGUGUUUCCUUGAUACAAGAUACAAAGGCAUAGACGCAUACGGAGUUUAGCUACACCAUCAAAGCUUUGAGAAGUAAGAAGAAGCUUGGUUACUGUUUAUGAGUCAAAUAUGACUAGAUGUCAUGUGUAUGAGUGAAUAUAACAACUAGAACCGCAAUUGGAUUUUAAAAGCCUAAGUAUUGUAUCCUUGUAAGAAGAUACAAAGACAAACACUCAUACGGACUUCGGCUACACCAUUAAAGCUUUGAGAAGGAAGACAAGCUUGGUUAGUGUUUUGGAGUCGAAUAUGACUUGAUGCGAUGUGUAUGAUUGAGUAUGAGAACUUAAAACGCAACCGGAUCUUAAAAGCCUAAGUAGUGUUUCCUUGUUAGAAGACACAAAGCCAAAGCCUCAUACGGAAUUUAGUUACACCAUCAAAGCCUUGAGAAUCAAGAAGAAGCUUGGUUAGUGUUUUGGAGUCAAAUAUU